UGGGGAAUUUUGGACAAUGGACGCAAGUCUGAUCCAGCCAUGCCGCGUGCGGGAAGAAGGCCUUCGGGUUGUAAACCGCUUUUGUCAGGGAAGAAACGAGUUUCUCUAAUACAGAGACUUAAUGACGGUACCUGAAGAAUAAGCACCGGCUAACUACGUGCCAGCAGCCGCGGUAAUACGUAGGGUGCGAGCGUUAAUCGGAAUUACUGGGCGUAAAGCGUGCGCAGGCGGUGAUGUAAGACAGAUGUGAAAUCCCCGGGCUCAACCUGGGAACUGCAUUUGUGACUGUAUAGCUAGAGUACGGCAGAGGGGGAUGGAAUUCCGCGUGUAGCAGUGAAAUGCGUAGAUAUGCGGAGGAACACCGAUGGCGAAGGCAAUCCCCUGGGCCUGUACUGACGCUCAUGCACGAAAGCGUGGGGAGCAAACA
rnacentral:rRNA from 1 species